GAUCAUGGCUCAGGACGAACGCUGGCGGCGCGCCUAACACAUGCAAGUCGAACGGAGAAAUGCUGAGCUUGCUUUGCAUUUCUUAGUGGCGGACGGGUGAGUAACACGUGAGCAACCUGCCUUUGUGAGGGGAAUAACGUCUGGAAACGGACGCUAAUACCGCAUAACGUCAAGGAACCGCAUGGUUUUUUGACCAAAGAUUUUAUCGCACAAAGAUGGGCUCGCGGCUGAUUAGCUAGUUGG
rnacentral:rRNA from 1 species